rnacentral:rRNA from 1 species
CGGUCCAGACUCCUACGGGAGGCAGCAGUGGGGAAUAUUGCACAAUGGGCGCAAGCCUGAUGCAGCCAUGCCGCGUGUGUGAAGAAGGCCUUCGGGUUGUAAAGCACUUUCAGCGGGGAGGAAGGCGGUGAGGUUAAUAACCUCAUCGAUUGACGUUACCCGCAGAAGAAGCACCGGCUAACUCCGUGCCAGCAGCCGCGGUAAUACGGAGGGUGCAAGCGUUAGUCGGACUUCCUGAGCGUAAAGCACACGCAGGC